rnacentral:sRNA from 1 species
CUUUGCAAAAAUUGCAUGUUUCUCCGAUUUUGGACAUUUUUUCAUGCAGUCC